rnacentral:rRNA from 1 species
UGGGGAAUCUUGCGCAAUGGGCGAAAGCCUGACGCAGCGACGCCGCGUGAGCGAUGAAGGCCCUCGGGUCGUAAAGCUCUGUGGGGAGGAAAGAAUAAGGACAGGCGAAUACCCUGUUUGAUGACGGUACCUCCUUAGCAAGCACCGGCUAACUCUGUGCCAGCAGCCGCGGUAAUACAGAGGGUGCAAACGUUGUUCGGAAUCACUGGGCGUAAAGCGGGUGUAGGCGGCUUGGUAAGUCGGGUGUGAA